CAGCCGCCGCGGGAAUACGUAGGGUGCGAGCGUUAAUCGGAAUUACUGGGCGUAAAGCGUGCGCAGGCGGUUCGUUAAGACAGAUGUGAAAUCCCCGGGCUUAACCUGGGAACUGCAUUUGUGACUGGCGAGCUAGAGUAUGGCAGAGGGGGGUAAAAUUCCACGUGUAGCAGUGAAAUGCGUAGAGAUGUGGAGGAACACCGAUGGCGAAGGCAGCCCCCUGGGCCAAUACUGACGCUCAUGCACGAAAGCGUGGGGAGCAAACAGGAUUAGAUACCCCAGUAGUCCCUGUCUCUUAUAC
rnacentral:rRNA from 1 species